rnacentral:rRNA from 1 species
UACACGACCGUACCGCAAACCGACACUGGUGCGCGAGAUGAGUAUUCUAAGGCGCUUAGAGAACUCAGGAGAAGGAACUCGGCAAAUUGACACCGUAACUUCGGAAGAAGGUGUGCCUUUAGUAGGUGAACCUGUACAAGGGGAGCCCAAUGAGGUUGCAAAAAAUCGGUGGCUGCGACUGUUUAAUAAAAACACAGCACUCUGCAAACACGAAAGUGGACGUAUAGGGUGUGACGCCUGCCCGGUGCUGGAAGAUUAAAUGAUGGGGUGCAAGCUCUUGAUUGAAGUCCCAGUAAACGGCGGCCGUAACGAUAACGGUCCUAAGGUAGCGAAAUUCCUUGUCGGGUAAGUUCCGACCUGCACGAAUGGCGUAACGAUGGCCACACUGUCUCCUCCUGAGACUCAGCGAAGUUGAAAUGUUUGUGAUGAUGCAAUCUCCCCGCGGAAAGACGGAAAGACCCCAUGGACCUUUACUGUAGCUUUGUAUUGGACUUUGAACAGAUCUGUGUAGGAUAGGUGGGAGGCUUUGAAGUGUGGUCGCUAGAUCGCAUGGAGCCAACGUUGAAAUACCACCCUGGUGUGUUUGAGGUUCUAACCUAGGCCCGUAAUCCGGGUCGGGGACAGUGCAUGGUAGGCAGUUUGACUGGGGCGGUCUCCUCCCAAAGCGUAACGGAGGAGUUCGAAGGUACGCUAGGUACGGUCGGACAUCGUGCUAAUAGUGCAAUGGCAUAAGCGUGCUUAACUGCGAGACUGACAGUCGAGCAGAUGCGAAAGCAGGACAUAGUGAUCCGGUGGUUCUGUAUGGAAGGGCCAUCGCUCAACGGAUAAAAGGUACUCUGGGGAUAACAGGCUGAUACCUCCCAAGAGUUCAUAUCGACGGCGGUGUUUGGCACCUCGAUGUCGGCUCAUCUCAUCCUGGGGCUGUGGCCGGUCCCAAGGGUAUGGCUGUUCGCCAUUUAAAGAGGUACGUGAGCUGGGUUUAAAACGUCGUGAGACAGUUUGGUCCCUAUCUUCCGUGGGCGCUGCAGAUUUGAGGAAGCCUGCUCCUAGUACGAGAGGACCGGAGUGGACACACCUCUGGUGUAUCGGUUGUCACGCCAGUGGCAUUGCCGAGUAGCUAUGUGUGGAAGAGAUAACCGCUGAAAGCAUCUAAGCGGGAAACUCGUUUCAAGAUGAGAUCUGCCGGGGCCUUGAGCCCCCUAAAGAGUCGUUCAAGACCAGGACGUUGAUAGGUCGGGUGUGGAAGCGCAGUAAUGCGUUAAGCUAACCGAUACUAAUUGCUCGUGCGGCUUGACCAA